rfam:Gossypium arboreum cultivar AKA8401 contig_1523_1, whole genome shotgun sequence.
AAACCAUGCAUCGGGCAUUUUUUAAUUAACUCCUUGAAUCGCUCACAUGUUUCAUAUAAUGUUUCAUCCUUAGAUUAUUGAAAGGACAUAAUAGUUUGGCAU